GGCUGGGCACGCCGGGCCGAGGAGGGCUGCGUCAUGCCGGGGGCGGGGCUCCGGGGCCGGCGCGAGGCGCGGCGGGUCACGUGGGUCGCGGCGCGGGCUAUAAGUAGGGGCCGGCGGCGUGCCCCGCUAGAGUGAUGGCUGCCGGCGUUCGCUGCGUGCUUCUUUUUCUCGGCUGCUGAGGCCCCCCCCCCCCCGUGGCUGCUUCCUGGGUAAGUCGUGAGUCCCGCGGAGCUGUCCCCGGUGCCGCCAACCCGGGCCGUGUGCUCGCCGACCGCAGGCGCGACCCGUGGCUCCCGCCGUUGCCUCGAUCUCCUCGUCUCCCGCUCCGCCCUCCCUUUUCCCUGGAUGAACUUGCGUCCUUUCUCUUCUCCGCCAUGGAAUUCUGCUCCGUGCUUUUAGUCCUCCUGAGCCAAAGAAACCCCAGACAACAGAUGCCCAUACGCAGCGUAUAGCAGUAACUCCCCAGCUCGGUUUCUGUGCCAUAGUUUACAUUAUUUAUUAUAGCAAUUUUGAUACCUCAUAUUCUGUUUACACAUCCUGAAAGCCGCUCAGUAGUUCUCUUACUAAACAACCACUACUCUAGAGAAUGGCAACGCUGAUUACCCAUACUACAGCUGCUACCGCCGCUUCUGGUCCUUUGGUGGACCACCUAUGGAUGCUCACCCUGGGCUUCGUUAUUGCAUUUGUCUUGGCAUUCUCCGUGGGAGCCAAUGAUGUAGCAAAUUCUUUUGGUACAGCUGUGGGCUCAGGUGUAGUGACCCUGAAGCAAGCCUGCAUCCUAGCUAGCAUCUUUGAAACAGUGGGCUCUGUCUUAAUGGGGGCCAAAGUGAGCGAAACCAUCCGGAAGGGCCUGAUUGACGUGGAGAUGUACAACUCGACCCAAGGGCUGCUGAUGGCCGGCUCAGUCAGUGCUAUGUUUGGUUCUGCUGUGUGGCAACUCGUUGCUUCGUUUUUGAAGCUCCCCAUUUCUGGAACUCAUUGUAUUGUUGGUGCAACCAUUGGUUUCUCCCUCUUGGCAAAGGGGCAGGAGGGUGUCAAGUGGUCUGAACUGAUAAAAAUUGUGAUGUCUUGGUUCGUGUCCCCGCUACUUUCUGGAAUUAUGUCUGGAAUUUUAUUCUUCCUAGUUCGUGCAUUCAUCCUCCAUAAGGCAGAUCCAGUUCCUAAUGGUUUGCGAGCUUUGCCAGUUUUCUAUGCCUGCACAGUUGGAAUAAACCUCUUUUCCAUCAUGUAUACUGGAGCACCAUUGCUGGGCUUUGACAAACUUCCUCUGUGGGGUACCAUCCUCAUCUCGGUGGGAUGUGCAGUUUUCUGUGCCCUUAUCGUCUGGUUCUUUGUAUGUCCCAGGAUGAAGAGAAAAAUUGAAUGAGAAAUAAAGUGUAGUCCUUCUGAAAGCCCCUUAAUGGAAAAAAAGAAUAGCUUGAAAGAAGACCAUGAAGAAACAAAGUUGUCUGUCAGUGAUAUUGGGAACAGGAAUCCUGUUUCUGAGAUAGGGCCUGCCACUCUGCCCCUCCAGGCUGUGGUGGAGGAGAGAACAGUCUCAUUCAAACUUGGAGAUUUGGAGGAAGCUCCAGAGCGAGAGAGGCUUCCCAGCGUGGACUUGAAAGAGGAAACCAGCAUAGAUAGCACCGUGAAAGGUGCAGUGCAGUUGCCUAAUGGGAACCUUGUCCAGUUCAGUCAAGCUGUCAGCAACCAAAUAAACUCCAGUGGCCACUACCAGUAUCACACCGUGCAUAAGGAUUCUGGCUUGUACAAAGAGUUGCUCCAUAAAUUACAUCUGGCCAAGGGGGGAGAUUGCAUGGGAGAAUCUGGUGACAAACCCUUAAGGCGCAAUAAUAGCUAUACUUCCUAUACCAUGGCAAUAUGUGGCAUGCCUCUGGAUUCAUUCCGUGCCAAAGAAGGUGAACAGAAGGGCGAAGAAAGAGAAGCUGACGUGGCCUAAUGGAGACUCCAGGAAGCGAAUCUGAAUGGACAGUUUACACUAGUUACUGCAAUGCUGUGUCUGACCUUCACUCGGCAUCUGAGACAGACAUGAGUGUCAAGGCAGAGAUGGGUCUAGGUGACAGAAAAGGAAGUCAUGGCUCUCUGGAAGAGUGGAAUGACCAGGAUAAGCCUGAAGUCUCUCUCCUCUUCCAGUUCCUGCAGAUCCUUACAGCCUGCUUUGGGUCAUUCGCCCAUGGUGGCAAUGACGUAAGCAAUGCCAUUGGGCCUCUGGUUGCUUUAUAUUUGGUUUAUGACACAGGAGAUGUUUCUUCAAAAGUGGCAACACCAAUAUGGCUUUUACUCUAUGGUGGUGUUGGUAUCUGUAUUGGUCUGUGGGUUUGGGGAAGAAGAGUUAUCCAGACCAUGGGGAAGGAUCUGACACCGAUCACACCCUCUAGGUAAGUAGGUGGAGCAGGUUCUACAAAUGUCAGUACUCAUUUUUUUCAGAGAUACAAUACUGUCGAGUGCUAACACAAAUCUCUUGUUGAAUGUAACCGACUGGGGGACCCAGGCCCCCGCGAUCCGGGGCCCACAGCCGCCGCCCCGCCCUGCACCCACGGCAGCUGGCGGACCCCGACCGCCAGGGCCUGGGGGACCCAGGCUCACGCGAUCCUGGGCCCACCGUCGCCGCCCUGCCGCGCCCCCACGGAGGCUGGCGGCCCUGGACCGCCGGGGACUGGGUGACCCAGGCCCCCCCAUCCCGUCCGCCCAGCCGCCGCCCCGCCCCCAAGGCGCCUGGUGGCCCCGGACCGCCGGGACCUGGGGGACCCAGGAUCCCGCGAUCCGGACCGCCCAGCCGCUGCCCCGACCCGCCCCCACGGCCCGCGCGAUCCUGGUACCCCAGCCGCCGCUCCGCCCCGACCCCACGGCGGCUGGCGGAACCCGACAGCUGGGGACUGGGAACCCAGGUCCCCUUGAUCCGGGGCCCCCAGCCGCCGCCCUGCCCCGCCCCCAUGGCUGAUGGCGGCCCGGAUCGCCGGGACUUGGGGGACCCAGGCCCCCGCGAUCCGGGCCAACCAGCCACCGCCC